rnacentral:rRNA from 1 species
UACGUAGGGUGCAAGCGUUAAUCGGAAUUACUGGGCGUAAAGCGUGCGCAGGCGGUUUUGUAAGUUUGUCGUGAAAGCCCCGGGCUCAACCUGGGAAUUGCGAUGAAGACUGCAAGGCUUGAAUCUGGCAGAGGGGGGUAGAAUUCCACGUGUAGCAGUGAAAUGCGUAGAGAUGUGGAGGAACACCGAUGGCGAAGGCAGCCCCCCUGGGUCAAGAUUGACGCUCAUGCACGAAAGCGUGGGGGAGCAAACAGG